CAGCUCGUGCCGUUGAGGUGUCGGCUUAAGUGCCAUAACGAGCGCAACCCUUAUUUCCAGUUACUAACAGGUGAUGCUGAGGACUCUGGAGAGACUGCCAGCGUAAGCUGUGAGGAAGGUGGGGAUGACGUCAAAUCAGCACGGCCCUUACAUCCGGGGCGACACACGUGUUACAAUGGUAGGGACAAAGGGCAGCUACCGGGCGACCGGAUGCGAAUCUCUAAACCUUAUCUCAGUUCGGAUCGGAGUCUGCAACUCGACUCCGUGAAGCUGGAUUCGCUAGUAAUCGCGCAUCAGCCAUGGCGCGGUGAAUACGUUCCCGGGCCUU
rnacentral:rRNA from 1 species